UCUUCUCGCCAUGGUUUGGCUUCCCCUUCUCAGCCUUCUGGUGAUGUGGUGCACAGGUUCAGAUUCUCAGCCUGUGCUGACUCAGCCUCCAUCAGCAUCGGUGUCACCAGGGAACACAGUGAAGGUCUCCUGUGUCAUGGGCAGUGGAUUCAGCAUCAGUGGCUCCUACAUGUCCUGGUACCAGCAGAAGCCUGGGAAUCCCCCAAGAUUCCUCCUAUGGUAUUAUUCUGAUUCCAGCAAAGGCCAGGGCUCCGGGGUUCCCUCUCGUUUCUCUGCUUCCAAAGACACGUCUUCAAACACCUUCUUUUUAACCAUCACGGGAGCCCUGGCAGAAGAUGAGGCUGAUUAUUACUGUGCUUCAGAGCACGGCAGUGGUAGCAGCUGGAGGUAA